AAACUUAAAGGAAUUGACGGGGGCCCGCACAAGCGGUGGAGUAUGUGGUUUAAUUCGACGCAACGCGAAGAACCUUACCAGGUCUUGACAUCCUCUGACAGCCUAAGAGAUUAGGUGUUCGGCUUUCGGGUCGACAGAGAGACAGGUGGUGCAUGGUUGUCGUCAGCUCGUGUCGUGAGAUGUUGGGUUAAGUCCCGCAACGAGCGCAACCCUUAUUCUUAGUUGCCAUCACAUAAUGGUGGGCACUCUAAGGAGACUGCCGGUGAUAAACCGGAGGAAGGUGGGGAUGACGUCAAAUCAUCAUGCCCUUUAUGACCUGGGCUACACACGUACUACAAUGGCCUGUACAAAGGGUAGCGAAGCCGUGAGGUGGAGCCAAUCCCAAAAAGCAGGUCUCAGUUCGGAUUGUAGGCUGCAACUCGCCUACAUGAAGUCGGAAUCGCUAGUAAUCGCGGAUCAGCAUGCCGCGGUGAAUACGUUCCCGGGCCUUGCACACACCGCCCGU
rnacentral:rRNA from 1 species